GGCCAGUGACAUGGCUGGUGGAAUGGCUUGCAAUCGACCCGUCUUGAAACACGGACCAAGGAGUCUAACAUGUAUGCGAGUAUAAGGGUGGCAAACCCGUAUGCGCAAUGAAAGUAACUUUCGAUGAUUGAGAAUGGCCUGAUGACCAGACAAGCAAUAUAUUCAUGUCCCUCGUACGGCCAUUGCCCAAGUUCCGUGGUAGAUCCCAUGAACAUGGAGUUGGAGCAUACAUGCUAGGACCCGAAAGAUGGUGAACUAUGCCUGGACAAAGCGAAGCCAAAGGAAACUCUGGUGGAGGCUUGUAGCGAUUCUGACGUGCAAAUCGAUCGUCUGAUCUGGGUAUAGGG
rnacentral:rRNA from 1 species